rnacentral:lncRNA from 1 species
CGUUGCUAUAGACUGGGAGAGAGGAAGGAGACCUUUAAUACAAUUUAAACUUGGAAUGGAUUGGGUAAGAGCGUUACUGUAGACUAGGAAAGAGGAAGGAGACCUUUAAUACAAUUUAAACUUGGAAUGGAUUGGGUAAGAGUGUUGCUAUAGACUAGGACAGAGGAAGGAGACCUUUCAUACAAUUUAAACUUGGAAUGGAUUGGGUAAGAGCGUUACUGUAGACUAGGAGAGAGGAAGGAGACCUUUAAUACAAUUUAAACUUGGAAAGAUGUUUUCCUUUGAGUGAAGACCACUAAGUGAGGAGGAAGGAGCUUGCAAGCCGCCGGGUCAUGCACCACUACCCAGACAGUGUUGUUGCCUGCCCAGCAGCCAUUUCUCUCAGGUCUUCUCUGCUAGUGCAGCCUCAGUUUUGCUCAGAUACUGGCUGAAAAGUCCCCAACCUCAGAGGAGGCCAGUUCCUGCCUCAAGCCGGGGGAUAAACCGUGGUUGCUCAGAAACAGCCAUGGGGCUCCCUUUCCAUGCCAGUAGGUUAGGCCGUGUGUGCCUGUGUGCCCAACUCUUGCCAUAAAGUGUAGGAGAAACUUGGCCAGGGGAUGCUAUGGAAAAUAUUUUUCCCAGAUGAAAAGGAGUAUCUUCCCAGAGAGAAAGCUUCCUUCUGCACCUGUCUCCUACCUUUCUCCUUCAGAUGUUGCUGUUUGGAGCUGAGGCAGCCGUCCUGUGACCAUCUGUCAACAAAGGAGGCGCGGCUGGGCUCGCAGGCUGUGUCCCUGCUGGCCUGAGAAUGAGUGGGGCCUCCGGAAACCUCGCCCCUUCCCAGCACUGUCUACACAGCAGGGUGUUCUGAGAGAAGUCCAGCCUCUGCUUUCGACCUCUCUACCCUAUUUCCACCACCCCCUGUGCCGGUGAUUAGGCAGCGGUUUCCUUGUUAGAAGCAACUUUGAAGGACGGACACUGGAUCCUGAAACGUUUUCCCCUGUGGCUGCACGACUCACCUCCCACAGCACCUGCAGCCAUGUCCACCUGGCACCUGCUCCAUUCCAGGGUGGGAGCAGGGCAGCAGGAGGUCAAGUCUGAGAAUCACUUUACCCAGCAACACAUCUUUAGCCAGGGGAGAAAUGCAGAGAAAACAGCCGGUCAGGUCCAUGACCAUUCGCAG